AAAUAAAAGAGAAGGAAUAAGAGAAUACUAGGUUGAAAUUUGUAAUUUUCUAACACUUGAGCUCGAAAAAAAUGUCAUUGGGGGGCAAAACCAUGAAAUAGCCAUGGGAAGGCCCAAAAAACUUCAUGAACACCUCGAAAGGGACCAAUUAAGUUGUUAAAACUUACGGUUUAUGCAUGGGAUUUCUGGUUUGAAAUUUUGGGCAAAAUAUAUAUGUUUUCCAACACUUAAGCUCAAAAAUAGGGCCAUUGUGGGAUAAAACUGUGAAAUAGCCACAAGAAGUCAUAAGAAGGCCUGAAAAACUUCACGAACAACUCCGAAGGGACCAAUGUAAGUUGUAAAUUUUUACAGAUAAUGCACAAAAUUCCGAAUUUGAAAACUAAGUCGGAAUUUGCAUUUUUAUAACACUUGGGCCCCGAAAAUAGGUUAUUCGGGCCAAAACCAUGGAACAACCAUAGGAAGACCCUUUGAAGUUGAAGAGUUCAACUAUUUUCUUUCUUUGUUUGGUAAGAUAUUAACUAUUUUCUUUCCUUGUUUUUGUGGUAGAUUGGAGUUAGAGAGUUUGGUCAUUCGGAGGAGGGCAAGAACUUGUUUUAUUUCUACUUUUUAUUGAUAUUAUGAGACAUGUAUUUUGACUGUGUUGUCACAGCUUAUAAUUUUACUAAAUUUGUCUGUUUUAUUUGUUUUUUUGGGUGUGUUGUGAUGAUUGCUUGAAGUGGAGGUGUAUAGCAGCCAAUCUUGCAGAUUCCAUUGAAUAAACAAACUGCAGAUGGUUAGAAAUUGCUUGGAGAGAUGCAAAAUAUGGUCAAAGACGCCAGAACAUUCAAGAACUUUGAGUUCUCCUUAAGUUUUUCAUUUUUUUAAUGAGAUUUUUAUUGUGAUUAAUAAUCACUCUCUUACAAGUCACGCUUAAAAACUUGUGAUUAAAUAACAUCCAUCACACUUAAAAUU